GUGGGGAAUAUUGGACAAUGGGCGAAAGCCUGAUCCAGCAAUGCCGCGUGAGUGAUGAAGGCCUUAGGGUCGUAAAGCUCUGUUGAAUGGGAAGAAAAAAAUGACGGUACCAUUCGAGGAAGGACCGGCUAACUUCGUGCCAGCAGCCGCGGUAAUACGAAGGGUGCAAGCGUUAAUCGGAAUUACUGGGCGUAAAGCGCGCGUAGGUGGUUUUGUAAGUUGGAGGUGAAAUCCCCGGGCUCAACCUGGGAACUGCCUCCAAAACUGCAUGACUAGAGUACGGUAGAGGGUAGUGGAAUUUCCUGUGUAGCGGUGAAAUGCGUAGAUAUAGGAAGGAACACCAGUGGCGAAGGCGACUACCUGGACUGAUACUGACACUGAGGUGCGAAAGCGUGGGGAGCAAACAGGAUUAGAAACCCUAGUAGUCC
rnacentral:rRNA from 1 species